UAAUUUGUAAAAUAAAGGAGAGCUGAUGA
rnacentral:piRNA from 1 species